UUACGGCCACAUCAUGUUGAAACACUAGUUCCCAUACAAUCGCCGAAGUUAAGCAAUAUUGAGUCUGGUCAGUAUCUAGAUAGGUGACCACUUGGCAAUACCAGGUGCU